CCUACGGGAGGCAGCAGUGGGGGAUAUUGGACAAUGGGGGGAACCCUGAUCCAGCGACGCCGCGUGAGUGAAGAAGUAUUUCGGUAUGUAAAGCUCUGUCAGCAGGGAAGAAAGAAAUGACGGUACCUGACCAAGAAGCCCCGGCUAACUACGUGCCAGCAGCCGCGGUAAUACGUAGGGGGCAAGCGUUAUCCGGAAUUACUGGGUGUAAAGGGAGCGUAGACGGUUAAGUAAGUCUGGAGUGAAAGGCCGGGGCCCAACCCCGGGACUGCUCUGGAAACUAUUGAACUUGAGUGCAGGAGAGGUAAGCGGAAUUCCUAGUGUAGCGGUGAAAUGCGUAGAUAUUAGGAGGAACAACAGUGGCGAAGGCGGCUUACUGGACUGCAACUGACGUUGAGGCUCGAAAGCGUGGGGAGCAAACAGGAUUAGAUACCCCAGUAGUC
rnacentral:rRNA from 1 species